UACGGAGGGUGCAAGCGUUAUCCGGAUUCACUGGGUUUAAAGGGUGUGUAGGCGGGCUAUUAAGUCAGUGGUGAAAUCUCCGGGCUCAACCCGGAAACUGCCAUUGAUACUAUUAGUCUUGAAUAUCGUUGAGGUAGGCGGAAUAUAUCAUGUAGCGGUGAAAUGCAUAGAUAUUAUAUAGAACACCGAUUGCGAAGGCAGCUUACUAAACGAUAAUUGACGCUGAGGCACGAAAGCGUGGGGAUCAAACAGG
rnacentral:rRNA from 1 species